GGUCACUGCUAUUGGGAUUCGAUUAAGCCAUGCGAGUCGAGAGGGUUCGGCCCUCGGCUGACUGCUCAGUAACACGUGGAUAAUCUGCCCUAAGGUGGAGGAUAACCUCGGGAAACUGAGAAUAAUACUCCAUAGGUCUAAGAUGCUGGAAUGCAUUUAGACUCAAAACUCCGGUGCCUUAGGAUGAGUCUGCGGACUAUCAGGUUGUAGUCAGGGUAAUGACCUGACUAGCCUACGACGGAUAUGGGUUGUGGGAGCAAUAACCCAGAGAUGAUAUCUGAGACACGAUAUCAGGCCCUACGGGGCGCAGCAGGCGCGAAAACUUCACACUGUGCGAAAGCGCGAUGAGGGAAUCCCAAGUGCAUGCACGUAAGUGUAUGCUGUUUCUUUGUUUAAAAAGCAUAGAGAGUAAGGGCUGGGUAAGACGGGUGCCAGCCGCCGCGGUAAUACCUGCAGCUCAAGUGGUGAUCGUUAUUAUUGGGCCUAAAACGUCCGUAGCCGGUCUUAUAAAUGCCUGGGUAAAUCGUGCCGCUCAACGGUACGACUUCCGGGUAGACUGUAAGACUUGGGACCGGGAGAGGCUAGAGGUACUCCUGGGGUAGAGGUGAAAUUCUGUAAUCCUGGGGGGACCACCAGUGGCGAAGGCGUCUAGCUAGAACGGGUCUGACGGUGAGGGACGAAGCCCUGGGGCGCGAACCGGAUUAGAUACCCGGGUAGUCCAGGGUGUAAACGCUGCUUGCUUGAUGUUAGUCGGGCUCCGAGCCCGAUUAGUGUCGGAGAGAAGUUGUUAAGCAAGCUGCCUGGGAAGUACGGUCGCAAGACUGAAACUUAA
rnacentral:rRNA from 1 species